rnacentral:tRNA from 26 species
GGAGACGUGGCAGAGCGGUUGAAUGCACCGGUCUUGAAAACCGACAAGGGUUAAUAGCCCUUCGAGAGUUCGAAUCUCUCCGUCUCCGCCA